UCCGCCGCGGGUCUCCGUGGGGUCCCGAAGGCCGCUAGAGCACAGGCCGACCACAAUCGCUUCCUCGCUGCUGGUUACUGCUUGUUCUCUUUAAUAGGGACUGAGUCGCUCUUUAUACACGCCUCUGAAAUAGCCCAGGACUAAGUUGGUGUUCCCUGAGUGGCCGUGGUUCCCUGCAUGCUGUGGGAGGAAGCCUGUGCUGGAGAGUGUGAGAAAGGUUCCUGCUGGUUUCUGUGUCCUCAGUGGGCGGACAACUCUGACCUUGGCCAGAUGGGUUGGUUGAUCCGAUACUCAGAGCUCUGGAGGCAAGACUGAGCACUACUGAGCAACGUGUGGCUGCUGUGCACAGGCUGGGCUGACGGGAAAUGCAUGUUGAACUGCAGGAGAGUGGCCGGGGUGAAACUUGGCCCUGGAAUCCUCUGGGGUCUGUGGGGACGUUGCGAAGAUGUGCAAGGGCUGCAGGCCACGGGUGGCCUGAGCUGUGGGGGAGCAGUGCUGACCCAGGCUGUGUCCCAGCCAAGGAGGAGUUCUUCUUACGUGCCUCGAGAGGACACCCCGGGGCUUUUUUCCUAAUAAGGACUUCUGAUCAAGUCAAUCUGUAAACUCAUGGUUUAAUGUCAAUAUUUAUUUAAAUUUUUGUCUCUGAAAGUAAAGCAUUUAUCUCCUGUCC